rnacentral:rRNA from 1 species
ACGGAAGGCAGCAGUGGGGAAUAUUAGGCAAUGGGGGAAACCCUGACCUAGCAACGCCGCGUGAAGGAAGAAGGCUCUCGGGUUGUAAACUUCUUUUACCAGGGACGAAGAACGUGACGGUACCUGGAGAAAAAGCCACGGCUAACUACGUGCCAGCAGCCGCGGUAAUACGUAGGUGGCAAGCGUUGUCCGGAUUUACUGGGUGUAAAGGGCGUGUAGGCGGAAAAGCAAGUCAGGAGUGAAAUCCCCGGGCUUAACCCGGGAACUGCUUUUGAAACUGUUUUCCUUGAGUAUCGGAGAGGCAGGCGGAAUUCCUAGUGUAGCGGUGAAAUGCGUAGAUAUUAGGAGGAACACCAGUGGCGAAGGCGGCUUGCUGGACGACAACUGACGCUGAGGCGCGAAAGCGUGGGGAGCAAACAGGAUUAGAUACACUGGUA